UAUGCAAUGAUUAUUUUCAUAUGUAUUUUCGAUUUCCUUCACCAUUAAUCUAUAUUUUACGGUUAUUUUACCGAUCUAAUAAACCUGCAUUGAGUACUGAUACCAUUUUUUAGUUUUGAUUUUUUGUCAUGGGUGCGUGUUUAUUUUAUCGAUUAAAAAAUUAAAACUGAUUCUUUGGUGUGUUUUUCCUUAAAUCUGCCAUAGGAGUGGAGAUACAAGGCUAGUCGGCAGAGGUUGUAUGGAUUUGGUUUCAUGUGUAAGAUCUCUAAUAUAUAUGGCUAUGUGGGUAAAUAAAUAUAUUCACUUGUUUGUAUUCGAUUUAGGAGAGUUUAAGUUUUCUCCACCGAUUGUGCAGGAAAAGUGCGGGCCUUAUCUCAAGGUAAAGUUCGAGAUAUCCUCAGAACACAUUCUCAUGUGUGG
rnacentral:lncRNA from 1 species